UUNCCAGAAAGGGACGGCUAACUACGUGCCAGCAGCCGCGGUAAUACGUAGNUCCCGAGCGUUGUCCGGAUUUAUUGGGCGUAAAGCGAGCGCAGGCGGUUAGAUAAGUCUGAAGUUAAAGGCUGUGGCUUAACCAUAGUACGCUUUGGAAACUGUUUAACUUGAGUGCAGAAGGGGAGAGUGGAAUUCCAUGUGUAGCGGUGAAAUGCGUAGAUAUAUGGAGGAACACCGGUGGCGAAAGCGGCUCUCUGGUCUGUAACUGACGCUGAGGCUCGAAAGCGUGGGGAGCGAACAGGAUUAGAUACCCUGGUAGUCCACGCCGUAAACGAUGAGUGCUAGGUGUUAGGCCCUUUCCGGGGCUUAGUGCCGCAGCUAACGCAUUAAGCACUCCGCCUGGGGAGUACGACCGCAAGGUUGAAACUCAAAGGAAUUGACGGGGGCCCGCACAAGCGGUGGAGCAUGUGGUUUAAUUCGAAGCAACGCGAAGAACCUUACCAGGUCUUGACAUCCCGAUGCCCGCUCUAGAGAUAGAGUUUUACUUCGGUACAUCGGUGACAGGUGGUGCAUGGUUGUCGUCAGCUCGUGUCGUGAGAUGUUGGGUUAAGUCCCGCAACGAGCGCAACCCUUAUUGUUAGUUGCCAUCAUUCAGUUGGGCACUCUAGCGAGACUGCCGGUAAUAAACCGGAGGAAGGUGGGGAUGACGUCAAAUCAUCAUGCCCCUUAUGACCUGGGCUACACACGUGCUACAAUGGCUGGUACAACGAGUCGCAAGUCGGUGACGGCAAGCUAAUCUCUUAAAGCCAGUCUCAGUUCGGAUUGUAGGCUGCAACUCGCCUACAUGAAGUCGGAAUCGCUAGUAAUCGCGGAUCAGCACGCCGCGGUGAAUACGUUCCCGGGCCUUGUACACACCGCCCGUCACACCACGAGAGUUUGUAACACCCGAAGUCGGUGAGGUAACCUU
rnacentral:rRNA from 1 species